AGAAGCUCCAAUUUCAGUUCCCGCUGUGCGAUGAGUUAGCUGAUCUUAGACCGAUAUUUAGAAUUGGCCUCAAGGGCCUGGCUUCUGAGGUAAAAGGAGGUAUCUGAUCCCAGAGUGAGGAAAACCAAUCUGAGGACAGAAAUACGUCCUCCUGUGUAGUCCAAAACAAGAUAUUAUUGAACUGUUCAGUUACAUCUUAUUGGCGAUUUACAGGUGAAAACACUAGACCUCAGCAUCCUGGAAACC